rnacentral:tRNA from 1 species
GGAGAGAUGGCAGAGUGGUCGAAUGCACCGGUCUUGAAAACCGGCGUGGGUUUGUAGCCCACCCAGGGUUCGAAUCCCUGUCUCUCCGCCA